AACCAUCGCUAAGUAACCUUCUCCUCCGGCUGCGGCGGUCCCGGGUGACAUGCAGUCCCUUAUCUCUCCGGUGACCAAGGCGAUUCUGGUGGCUUUGUUCAUCUUUGCCAUCCUCCUGAUCCUCUAUGUUAUCCUUUGGUACAUCUGCCGCGAUGUGGAUUGCGACCACGGCAUCUGAGUCGGGCUGCGGGGCAGCCUUGGAGCUGGAGACUGCUUGACAGUGGAGUCUCUCAAGGGGGGGAGGGGGCUUGAUCAAAAGAGAGCCAGACACAGAAGAAAAGAUCUGGGGUUUAAAAAAAGAAAGAAAGAAAGAGUGAGAGAGGUGGAGGGGAAGGACGGUGGUGGAGACGAGGAAAAAAAAAAAAGAGAGAGAGAGAAAAGGUGGGCAUGGGGGUGGGGAAGGAAAAAGCAGCCGUCAACUCCUCGGAUCCUACAACCUCAUCGAAACCUGGCAGGCGACAACUACAUCUAAGCACCGGCGACGUGGAAUUGACCUUCAGACAGCAGGGUCACCCUGUGCCCAGUGAGGGACUUGAAAGCUCUGGACAGUGUGGAGUCAUCCCUUGCCCUACUACACCACAAGAGCAGCACAGACAGGCAUACAUGGUGCCAUCAAGGUGCCAUGAUUCUGAUGUGGAGGGACGCCUUUGAGGGAUGGAAGGGGGAGACUUUGCUCCUGGGACUGUCAUGUCAACAAGAGUGCUGAUGGUGCAAUUUUGUGGGGACGGAGGGUGGGGCAGACAAUAUAUGGAUUGACGCCAUCGGCAGCCAUCACCCAUCUCACCUAAUAGUCCAAUGACUGGGCCCUCUCAACAGCUGGGGUCAAGGCCUCCAUCACAUCUCUUUGCUGGUAUUCUGAGCCAUCCCACCUGGCCCGUCUCUCCUCCCUCUUUCUUGUGGAGUCCUCAUCGACCUCCUUGCUUAUGCACGGUACUGAACCAGCAGGGCUCUCUGUUUAAAAUAUCUGUGAGGCAGCUUUGUGGAGAUUUUUACUUUUACAUACAUGACUAGAGAAGUCCUGAGGACAAUCAGCAUCAGAUUGUAACAUCUUUAAGGUAGGUGACAUCUGGAGUCUCGCCUACUUCAUUUUCCAAUGGAUUUUCUCAGUAAAGUUUGUAAACAAGUUAACUGUCUUCUAGCUUGUUUUUGCAUGAGGGAUGUGCUCAAGGGAACAGUCAUGAGUAAUUCAAUUAUGGCCCUCUUCUUUUUUUUAUUUUUUUCCCAAAGUUACCCCAGAUGAUUUUAUUUUAGUGGUCAUAAUAAAAAAAAAUGCUGCUCCCAAAAAUAAAUAGCCAAGUAAUUAAAGACUAUGAACUUUCAAUGUGAAAGAAGAAAGCCAAUAGGCAUAUAGUAUGCCAGCAUCUCAUUCAUAUUGGAGUGUUAACAAAUUCAUUUUUAUGACAUAGUGCAAUUUCAUUGCAUAGUUUGAGGGGCACCAAGGAUGUGCAGUUUUGCACUUUUGUUGAAAACUUCAGGGAAAACAGAUUACACAAGCAUGAGAAUUGCCAGGUGAUCUUUGUGUUAUCUCUAUGAAUGUAUUUGAAAAGUUAUGACCCAGCAAUGUUAGCUCUCCAUACCAUCCAUAUGCAUCAUAAUAAAUUAUUUUGUAAGCUUUUCUAAAUGCUAUAAUAAUUCUGUCUUUCAGGUUUGAUGUGGCACCUUAGUGUUGUCUUGUCACAUCUCUGUCUCUCCACAUGAAAAGAGGCAAUAAAGACAAUGCUCAGACAAUAUGGCUAUUCAAGAAAAUAAAAAAUAUUUUUGAAACUGUAUGACAUAGUACCACUCUUUGAUUCACAAUGUGCAAAGAAAACCACAGCUCAUGAAAGUACACAUGGCAUUAGCAAUUUGGGGAUAGAACAUUAAUACUAUAAACUGUGGUCAUGCUGAAGAGCAAAUGUUAACAGGAUGAAAUGUGUUAUUAUUCAAUGGUGAGGACUUCAGACUAACCCUCUGAGGUCAUGAGAAAAUGAUCCUACUCUCAUAUCUAAUGCUUAGAAUACAUGUCAAAGAAGGGACUUUUUUAUUAUAGAAACACAUUGUUA